GGGGGGGGGGGGGUGAGGGGGGAUCCCUGGGGCUGGCUGCUGUUCCAGGGACCUACCAGCUUCCCUGCUGGCUUCCAAAGACUCUGCUCCCUCCCGGGGCCCCUGCACGACCUAGAGGCUCCAGGAUGCAUGGGUGGCCCUGAGGCCUUGGCCAGAUGGCCUUUGGGCCUCCUACCCCUGCUCACUGCGCGCAGUGGGUGCCCAUGGCCUUAUCUUUGGCCCCAGGCCCCACACACGGCUCCCACAUGAUAGAGAGCCCAGGCCCCUGCUCCAGCCAGGGCUGCCACUGCCCCCAGGCAGCCCACCCCUUUGAUAGGGUGGAUGUGACUUGUUUCAAGGACCCAAUCUUAUGGCACAAGGGGAGUCUCUGGGCCCUGGAGGCUGAAGUAAAUAUGGCUGUAUCACAUUCCCCCUUUGCCUCUGUCUCCUCUGUCUCCCACCGUGGUUGAGAAACCCAUCCUGAGGCCUGCCCAUGGCUCCGAGGCUCCAGGCACCCCCAUCUUCUCAAAAACCAGCAUCCAGCAUUGAGAGGCGGCUUGGCUACCUCGCUUUUGCUGCCGCCAAGAGCGCUGGGGCCUGGGAAGGGACGAGAGCGGGGCCGGAGUCCUCCGGUCGGUGCCUGCCCGGCCCAGGCUGACUUGGUUUUCUGAGGUUUCAUAGUGCAGACUCCAAGCGGAGGCCCCCAGGGCUUGUCCGCAGGGAAGGCUGUCCUCCCUCUGAGCCCAUCAUGAGGCCGGUGCCAUGUGGCGUCAGUUGUGUCUGCUCAGCACGAAAGCCCCCCUCCCCCGGCACAACUUCGGUGCUGAAGGACACAGAUUCAGGAGACUCCCCCGCCCCAGGUCCGAGUGCAGUAGGUGAGGCCAGUUUGGGCGAGAGAGCAGCCCAGGCCUCUGCCCCCCUUAACGCUCCGUCCCAGUGGGCUGCCUGGGCCCAGCUGGCACGGAGGAAGCCGCCCACACUUCCCUGCUGGGGACAGAGGAGGAGAACGCGGCUGCAGGAUGCAGGUCACCGGGCUGUGCCCUGGCCCACUGACCACCUCACCCCUGCUCAAGGGUCCCCAGGCUCCCAAGUCCCUUCCCCAGCUCUGGAAGUCAAGGUGACUUUCUGGGCCUGAUCCCAAACAAAUACUUAUUAACUCCCUACUGCGCACGGCGCUAGCUGGGCCCGGAAAAGGCAAGGAGCCGCUCUGGCGCCCCAGCCCUGUCUGGGAAAACCAUGGCCCGACAUGCUGAGUGACAGUAAUAGCAGUCACAAGGUGGUAGGUGGGCAGCGGGCUCUGCGAGCUGAGGGGAGGCACCAUGGGGGGCCGGAGGGGCUGGGAGCCUUCACGGUUCAUUAGCCUGCUUAAUGGCCUUGCCCUCGGCAGCUCGCUCCAGCUUCUCCGAGAUGCCCUGGAGGAGGCAGAGGUCACUGAGGUGGUCUAGCUCCCUCUCCGGGCAGCUGACACUGUCAGCUCCCCCCCACCAGGGGGCUGCAGGAUGCAGGGUCAAGGAGCAGGGGACGAACUGAGUCUCCCUUGUGCAGGCACAAAGGCAGCCUCAGGGCCAGGGACCCAGCUGGGGACCAGCUGCGGGCUUGGGGCCUGGCCUGCAUGCCUGGAGUCAGGGGGACCGUGGGGGGUGAGCCAAAGGUCCAAAGGGCUUUAGGACCGGGCGGCUGCUUCCCCGGGCCGCACCGGAGCCCCAGCAACAGGGUCAGGGGGCGGCUGGCAGUGGGGGGGCAGGUGGGCACUGGUGGGUCCACUUGAUCAUGUUUCCAGCAAACGGCUGCCCAUGCAGGGGAGGCCCGCGGGCGUCAGCACCCUGUCCCAGGAGCAGCCCCACUCUGCUGGGGGCGACAGAGGAGCAAACACUGGCCCUUACAGCCCAUGAAUCCUCCUGAGGGUGGGUCUGGGGGACCCCAGCGCCUGCCCAGGGGAUGCCAGCGCCUGCCCGGGGGACCCCAGUGCCUGCCUGGGGGUGCGGGCCAUGGUAAUGAGCACCUGCCUGGAGCAGGGCCCAUGUCACCCUGAAGGCAGGAGGGAAGGACAAGACCCUGGAAAUGUCUCUUUUGGGAAAAGGGCAGCGGCGUUGGAAAGAUCGCCCAGCUUCCCGCUGAGAGCCAGCCAGCUUCCCCAGGGCUUGGCAGGCAGGUGGGAGGACAGCGAGACCCCACUCUCCUCCGUGUCAGGGGACACGGCCCCUGCUCCGGUGAUGAGUUCCUGUGUGACAGUAAAGCCCGCCGGCAUGUUCCCAGGGCCUCGGGCGCACAGGCCUCGAGCUCCCCCUCUCAGGGCAGUUCUGGGGAGCAGGGCGAGCAGGGGCCUGAAAGUUCUGUAGCGCCCAGGGCUCGGGGCGGGUUCUUAGGGCUGAGAGAGGCUGACAGGACCCUGCCAGGGAGCCCAGGUGAGGGAGGAUUUCUCUCCGUCCACUCACGGCGCACUCCCUCCGCAGUUGGCUCCCGAAAUCAGUCUUAAGCAGGAAGAAACCGCAGGCCUUCAGCGUGGCCUUGUGAAUAUGCAGAAUGUGGGCCUGGGGCUGUGAGGGCCUGUGUGGCCAGGGUCCCCACAGCCCCCACUUGGCUCAGGUGGGGGGUGGCCCAUCAAGCAAGCGCACCUCCCAUCUGUCCUGGGUCACAAGAACCUGCCUGACCCCCGAACUCCCACACACAUUUCCAGAUGUCACUUCCCAUUUCUGUGACCCCAAAAUCGGGGGCAUGGACUUAUUUCAAAGAAGCAGUUCAAACUGGAUGAAAUCAUUUCCAUUCAGGGAAUGCUGACCAUUCCAUCGUUUCAGAAAAUCCCACCCCACCUUACUGCCCCAGAUUAAUGACUCCAGCACUGCUCCGAAUGGGACCAGCAGCCCCCCAGGAAACCUCCAGUGCCGCCCCCACAGGCAAUGCUGUGUCCACCCAGGCUCAGCACGCUGGAGGCCCCAAAUGCACCCCUUCUUCUUGCCCUGUGCAGGGCCUCCCCCCAGGAGCGCCCUCCCCAGCCCCCUCUCUGUGGCCCCUCCUGAGGGCCCCAUGUUUGCCAUCUGCCUGACAGGGUCACCCUUGCCCCCAGUGCAUGCUGCCCCCUAAAAGCUCUCGGGGGGGCCCCUCCUGAGCACAUCUGGGGCCCCAGCAACCCCUCCCCCAGUACAUGUUUGUUGAAUUCGGAUUUGCUGCGUGAUUCUCUGCCCAGAACCUCUGUUCAGACUGUGUUCCCUGGUGAAUUGGUGUUCAGCAUUUUUGUUUAUUUGUUUGUUCUUUAACAAAAGGUUGUUUUGGUUUGAGAUUCAGCAAAAACACACACACAUUGCAUUCGGCUUCCUCUCCACUCGGGGUUUAGUCAAUCAGUUGUUUUCCAGGCUGCUUCUGAGUCCUUGCCUCAAAUGAGCCUCCAACAAGAUAAUGCAUUUAAAAGCCCUUGGAAAAGUACCAGGCCCCACGCACAUGUGAGGUAUUGUCAUCCUGCGAGGGAGCUAGCGAGCUGCUGGGCCCCGCACCCCACUCCCCGGAGCCAGGCUCAGCUCCAGAGAACACAGCCCACGGGUAGGGCUCAGGAGGGGCCGUCCCCAAAGCCCAGGCCUGCCUUCCCUCCUGAUGGCCCCUGGCCCUCUCUUCCCGAGGGGGGAGGGGGGACGGGGAUGGGAGGGACGACCAUCCGGGAAGCCCGUGCUCCCUCAAGAGGUGAAACAGGUCCUUGUAGGCUUCCCACCGGAGGCCUAUUUUCCCUUUGGUUCCCCCUGCGGUCCUGAGAGCUUUUGGGAGGAGGCCAGAGAGCAUUCUUCAGGCAGGAAAACAAAAUCAAAAACAAAACCCCCAGACUGGAAAGCUCUUGAGGCCUGGUUCACAUGUAGCGUUAGCACAAUGGGGACACGCGGUGGCCCGGAGCCGAGGCGGUGAAUCGGGACAGGCUGUGCAGGAGACUCCGUCCCCCGGCGAUGGUGGACGCGACAGCUAAGUCCCAACUAUGCGCCUGUCCUGAAUGCCAGCACCGUCCCUUUCCUCCAACAGGUUGGCUGGCUUUCACUGGUGUCCAUGAGCAAGCGUGGUCCAGUGGGGUGAUGGACAGCUUUCCCGUCCAGUAGUAUUUAUUAAAUACCACCAGUGUGCAACUCCUGAAAAGUUCAUCUCUCUUGCGGGAACCCCGCUUCUGGCCGAGGCGGUCUCCAGCGGCUUCAAAGGGGGAGCCAGCCCUGUGGGAGGCUGCAAAUAGACCCCGCCGCCAGCACCCGAGGCAGUCCGGCUGAGUAAGGCGUGGGUGCCAGAACGACUCCUCAGCCCCUCCUCAAACGCUCCCCUUCUGGUCCAGCCAUGAGGGUGUUACCAGCAACCACUGGAAUAGCUAACGUUUCAUAAGCAGCCUGCCGAGGACAUGGCUGAUUACCUUAUUCCAUCCAGGGUGUGGGGGAUGGAGGCUAGUAUGGGCAUUGGGGGCGGGGCCUCAAGACCCUCAACCCAGGUGCCCCAUGCCCUGCACCUGAUUUCACCUCCAGCCCAGCCCCUGCCCGUGCACGCCCUCCCACGGGCCUUGCCACACCUGCACUUCCUUUAGCGGCCAGAGGGCAGCACAGGGCGGGCUCCCAGCUGCAGGAAGGCCACGUGGGCCACGCUCGGCACAGGGGUGGCCAAAGCCUGGCUUCGCCACUGCCUUCCUGUCGACCUGCAACCCCUCAGAAGUGAGGGUUCAUGGUGGCUUGACUGUGGCUUGGCCGCCAAGGGCCCUGGUUAACCAGCUAAACUCAGGCAUCCACACUUGUCACCAGCUGCCCUGGAGAGCGUUAUGGGGAUGCUCUGCGCACAGGCAGGCCACAAAGGGCUUUUUUUUUUUUUUGGAGUUUUUCAGAGACCAAUUAAGUGUGGUCCACCGGUAAUGGGCCUCAGGUCAGAAGGGGCCAGUGAACACAGUCCUGCCAGCCUGCUGGGCCUCCAAGGAAGGGCUGUUUCCUCCUGUGGACGCAAGACAGCGCAGUCCCAUUUCCUCCCUGGCUCCGAAGGAAGAGAAGGGAAGAGGAGAGAAGAGAGAAGGAGAAAGGAAAAAGGGACACACGGACAGACGGGCACAGUGCCUGACCCCUUCGCAGCCCUCUUUGAAGAAACCUGGCUUCUUACCGCAUUCCGUGCUAGGCUAUCAGAGCUUAGGGAGCCUGAUCGGACAAAGCCCCGGCUGGCAGCGGCCUCCCACGGGGCUGUUUUCAGUGACUCCCAAGGAGGGGACCCCGAUCCAGGAGGCUCCCCUCCCUCCCUAUCCAGGACUCCUGGGGGCAGGGAAGCAAUAGUUCAUUCAGACAGGCUU